rnacentral:lncRNA from 1 species
GUAAAUUUUGAGAGUAGGGAACUAAUUUUAUUCUGUUCCAUACCUAGUUAUAUUCGGAUAUACAUUUUUAAUUUUGUUUGUGAAAAUCAUUUAGCUGUUUUUUAUGACAUUGUACGAUAAUGAUUUUUAGUUGUUAUGUAUUUGUGAAAUCAGAUGAAUUUAUUUGAUAUUUGAUUUGUUUGUUGUGAAAUGGCUUUGUUUUGCAGCCUCCACCAAACAGCUGAAGAUCUCUUGUUAAUAGGUUUUUCGGUUCGCACGGAGGCUAAAAUUAUUAGGGUUUUACUCUCUGAAUCUUGAAUCUUCUUGAAUGAAAAGGAACAACAAUUUAGUAUGAUUGUUCUUUUCUCAUCUAGUUUCAGACAUUGCUUCUUGUUGUUAUAAUCACUUUCAAGAAUUUCAUGUCAGUUUGUAACAUCUAGGUUCUGUGGGUUUGAUUAUGCCUUUUAUUUUUUGUGUAUGGAUACUAAUUAGUUGUAUGAAAAUGUGUAUCUUUGUAUGGUUUUUUGUUUGAAAAUCUCUC